rnacentral:rRNA from 1 species
UACGAAGGGGGCUAGCGUUGUUCGGAUUUACUGGGCGUAAAGCGCACGUAGGCGGAUCGUUAAGUCGGGGGUGAAAUCCUGGAGCUCAACUCCAGAACUGCCUUCGAUACUGGCGAUCUUGAGUCCGGAAGAGGUGAGUGGAACUCCUAGUGUAGAGGUGGAAUUCGUAGAUAUUAGGAAGAACACCGAUGGCGAAGGCAGGUCUCUGGGCUGACACUGACGCUCAUGCACGAAAGCGUGGGGAGCAAACAGG